rnacentral:rRNA from 1 species
GAUGAACGCUGGCGGCGUGCCUAAUACAUGCAAGUCGAGCGAAUGGAUUAAGGGCUUGCUCUUAUGAAGUUAGCGGCGGACGGGUGAGUAACACGUGGGUAACCUGCCCAUAAGACUGGGAUAACUCCGGGAAACCGGGGCUAAUACCGGAUAACAUUUUGAACCGCAUGGUUCGAAAUUGAAAGGCGGCUUCGGCUGUCACUUAUGGAUGGACCCGCGUCGCAUUAGCUAGUUGGUGAGGUAACGGCUCACCAAGGCAACGAUGCGUAGCCGACCUGAGAGGGUGAUAGGCCACACUGGGACUGAGACACGGCCCAGACUCCUACGGGAGGCAGCAGUAGGGAAUCUUCCGCAAUGGACGAAGGUCUGACGGAGCAACGCCGCGUGAGUGAUGAAGGCUUUCGGGUCGUAAAACUUUGUUGUUAGGGAAGAACAAGUGCUAGUUGAAUAAGCUGGCACCUUGACGGUACCUAACCAGAAAGCCACGGCUAACUACGUGCCAGCCGCCGCUGUAA